UUGAUUAAAAUUUUAAGUAUUUUCUGCCCAAUGAUUUAUUUAAUGGCUGCAGUAUUUUGACUGUACAAAGGUAGCAUAAUCAGUUGUUUUUUAAAUGAAUUCUAGAAUGAAAGAAGGAAUGAAAUAUAUGCUUUAUUAAUUAAAGAUUUUGAAUUUUAUUUUAAUAUUAAAAAGUAUUAAUAUAUUUAAGGGACGAGAAGACCCUAUAGAAUUUUAUAUUUUAAUUAAUUUUAAUAUUUAUUAUAUUAAAAUAUUUAUUUGGGAGGAAUUUUAAAUUUAUUAAACUUUGAAAUAUUAUAAACUAUUAUAAUUGAAUAAUUUAAAUAUUAAAAAAUAAAUUAAAUUACCUUAGGGAUAACAGCGUAAUAUUUUUUUAUAGUUCAUAUUGAAAAAAAUGUUU
rnacentral:rRNA from 1 species